GUGUCAGCAGCCGCGGUAAUACAGAGGGUGCGAGCGUUGUCCGGAAUCACUGGGCGUAAAGGGCGCGUAGGUGGCUUGGUAAGCGUGUGGUGAAAGCCUGGGGCUCAACCCCAGGUCUGCCGUGCGAACUGCCAAGCUUGAGCGUAGUAGAGGCAGGUGGAAUUUCGGGUGUAGCGGUGGAAUGCGUAGAUAUCCGAAAGAACACCGGUGGCGAAGGCGGCCUGCUGGGCUACUGCUGACACUGAGGCGCGACAGCGUGGGGAGCAAACAGGAUUAGAAACCCUAGUAGUCC
rnacentral:rRNA from 1 species